AAAGUCGUAACAAGGUCUCCGUAGGUGAACCUGCGGAGGGAUCAUCAUAGAAAACAUUCUAUAAGAAUGCUGGGGGGGAAGCGGGGAGCAUACUCUGCUUUUCGUUUUUCCCUUGGUGUUCUUCAAACAAACGAUCGCAACUAUUACAAUUGAUUUGGUUGGGGGUUUUGGGUGGAAAAAAAGACAGCAGAAAUGCUUCUCUUUUUUCUUCACCGUCAAAAAAGUGUUUGCCUGAUAUUCAAUGCCAUUGAUUUGGUUGGAAAAUAUGUAUAUACAACUUUCAACAACGGAUCUCUUGGCUCUC
rnacentral:misc_RNA from 1 species